GGCGGACGGGUGGAGUAACGCGUGGGUAACCUACGCCUCAUACAGGGGGAGUAACAGCUGGAAACGGACUGCUAACACCGCAUAAGACAUACAGCAUCGCAUGAUGCAGUGUGAAAAUAUUAAUAGGUAUGAGAUGGGCCCGCGUCUGAUUAGCUGGUUGGUGAGGUAAUGGCUCACCAAGGCGACGAUCAGUAGCCGGCUUGAGAGAGUGACCGGCCACAUUGGGACUGAGACACGGCCCAAACUCCUACGGGAGGCAGCAGUGGGGAAUAUUGCACAAUGGGGGAAACCCUGAUGCCAGCGACGCCGCGUGAGUGAAGAAGUAUUUCGGUAUGUAAAGCUCUAUCAGCAGGGAAGAAAAUGACGGUACCUGACUAAGAAGCCCCGGCUAACUACGUGCCAGCCGCCGC
rnacentral:rRNA from 1 species